AUCUGACAAGGGCUGAGCAAUCUGCCGUGGAGUGGACCCCAGCCUCUGGCUUGUCCUAGGCCAAGUAGUACAGUAGUUUCCCAGUAGUGGUUGGACAGCAGAGGGCCAAACAAUGCCUAAGAAUCCAGUAAAAGUCAAAGUGGGGCAAGCCCCAUGCAUGGUCCUGGGACUCAAGAACAACGCAAGGAGACAGUAGAAAAGACAAGAAAUAAGGAAAACAAUUCUGUCAAAUGUCAAGAUGGGCGAAUAAAGCUGUCUCGGUUUGUUUGAGUGAGCAAUUCCCUGGGGCAUGGGUGGGUUAGUGUGGGUUAAAGGCACUGGAAAGACUUAGAACUGCUGUUUUCAAAGGAAGAAGUAUGCUUCAUUCUCUUGACCUGCAGCCAAGUGAACAUCGAAAACUUCUAGAAUCCCAAUCAGGAGCACUCCUUGUGGAGCUGGAAAUCAACCCUACCCACCUGAAGGGACACAGAAGCACUGAAUCUAGUCAGCUGGUUCUUCUCUCACUGACACAGCUCCAGUUACCAGAAGAGAAACUGCCUGAGGUCUGUGAGAAUGUGUGUUAGUCAGCUUUUAAUUGCUGUGACCAAAUACUUGAGAAAAACAA
rnacentral:lncRNA from 1 species